GAGUUUGAUCCUGGCUCAGGAUGAACGCUAGCGGCAGGCUUAACACAUGCAAGUCGAGGGGUAUGGUUCUUCGGAACCAGAGACCGGCGCACGGGUGCGUAACGCGUAUGCAAUCUACCUUUUACAAAGGGAUAGCCCAGAGAAAUUUGGAUUAAUACCUUAUAGUAUUAUUGAGUGGCAUCAUUUAAUAAUUAAAGAUUUAUCGGUAAAAGAUGAGCAUGCGUCCCAUUAGCUAGUUGGUAUGGUAACGGCAUACCAAGGCAACGAUGGGUAGGGGUCCUGAGAGGGAGAUCCCCCACACUGGUACUGAGACACGGACCAGACUCCUACGGGAGGCAGCAGUGAGGAAUAUUGGACAAUGGGCGCAAGCCUGAUCCAGCCAUGCCGCGUGCAGGAUGACGGUCCUAUGGAUUGUAAACUGCUUUUAUACGGGAAGAAACCCUGGCUCGUGAGCCAGAUUGACGGUACCGUAGGAAUAAGGAUCGGCUAACUCCGUG
rnacentral:rRNA from 1 species